GAUUUCUGGCUUGAAACAUUUUGCCGGCCACGGUUUCGUGUGUUAGUGCUUGAUGUUCUGGCCAUCCUUCCAAUUGCUAUUGGCUAUUCUUCAUUGAAUGGUCAGUAGUAUUGGAUCUUUUACUUUGAAAAAAUUAGAGUGUUUAAAGCAGGCUUAUGCCAUGAAUACAUUAGCAUGGAAUAAUAAUAUAGGACUUUGGUUCUAUUUUGUUGGUUUCUAGGACUGAAGUAAUGAUUGAUAGGGAUAGUUGGGGGUGCUAGUAUUCAGCGGCCAGAGGUGAAAUUCUUGGAUUCGCUGAAGACUAACUACUGCGAAAGCAUU
rnacentral:rRNA from 1 species